rnacentral:rRNA from 1 species
AACCUGGUUGAUCCUGUCAGUUGUCAUAUGCUUGUUUCAAGGACUAAGCCAUGCAAGUGUCAGAGUACUCGGGGUUUACCUCGAGAGGUCUGUGUACGGCUCAUUAAACGGUUUAUUGUCUACCCAACGAAGGAUGUGCAUUUGCCAGCCCUACGGGAUAACUUUGCUAACUGCAAAGCUAAUACCUGGAAGAAAAACCUCACACCUUCCAAACGGUUGGAUAACUUCUGUUGUUCAGCCGUGGUGCGGGGUGCGCUUCGCCGAAACAAAAACUAACGCCGUUUCGGCAGCUGCAACUGUUGAGGCAGGCGAAUGUCGCGAAAGCGUUCGCAAGAACGCGUUGUUGGACGAAUUUACCACCUAUCAGGUUGAAGGUAGUAUAGUUGACUACCUUGCCAUUGACGGGUAACGGGGAAUUGGGGUUCGAUUCCGGAGAGGGUGCUUGAGAAAUGGCAACCAUGACUACGGUCAGCAGCAGGCGCGCAAAUUGCCCAAUGCCAAUACCUUGGCGAGGCAGCGACGAAAAAUAAUAACUUUGAUGCAUUUGUGUGCAUCAGAGAUUGCAAUGGACUGUAUCCAGAAACACUGAUGAGUAUCCAUUGGAGGGCAAGUCUGGUGCCAGCAGCCGCGGUAAUUCCAGCUCCAAGAGCGUAUAUAAAUGUUGUUGCGGUUAAAAAGCCCGUAGUUGGAUUUGAGAUCACUGUCUCUGGAUUCUACUCUGGGGUUUCCUGGAGACCAGAAUCCAAGAAAUGGCGGUGAUCUGUUUGAUGCGGGAAUGGACCUCUGCCGACCAUCUCUUCGGGGGUGUAAGGCAACUUCGGAGUCUCGACGCUCCAAAGAGGCGCCCGCAGUCGUCACUGUGAGUAAAUCAGAGUGUUCAAGGCAACUCUUUGUUGAGUUGAAUGUCAAAGCAUGGAAUGACAAGGGAUCGACCACUGAUUGGCCUCUUUUUGUUGGUUUUUAACCAUCAGUGAGGUAAAUCUGUGGAAGGGCUUUUCGCUCCAGAGACUUCGGUCUUCUGGACGAACCCUUCUGCGCACGGGAUCAAUAGGAGCACAGGGGGCCGUGAGUACUGGAGGGUGAGUGGUGAAAUACUGAGACCCCUCCAAGACUGACAUCAGCGAAAGCACACGGCUAUUGUGCUUUCAUUAAUCAAGGACGAGAGAUAGGGGAUCGAAGAGGAUUAGACACCCUCGUAGUCCUUUCCUUAAAUUCUGCAGACUUGGGAUCGGUCAGCGUCCAUCAUCUUGACCUGAUCGGCGCCUUCCUUCCCCACCGAGAAAUCAAAGUCUUUGUGUUCCGGGGGGAGUACAUUCGCAAGGCUGAAACUUAAAGGAAUUGACGGAGAACCACCACCAGUCGUGGAUUGUGUGGCCUAAUUCGACUCAACACGGGAAAUUUUACCAGCACAUGACAGGGUCAGGAUUGCCAAGUUAAAGCCUUUGCUUGAUUCCCUGAAGGGUGGUGCAUGGCCGCUUCUGGUUGGUGAAUGUGAUUUGUCUGCUUAAUUGCGAUAACGAACGAGAUCUCUGCCAAUUACUAGACACCGCUUUCGCUUCAAGCGUGUGUGUGAUCAAGGCCUCUGGCUUUGACCACAUGCUGCUGAGAAGGCGGGUGUUUACUUAUUGGGAUUAUGCGGCUACAAACGCAUUGAAACGAGAGCCCAAAGCAGGUCUGUGAUGCUCCUAAAUGUGCUGGGCUGCACGCGCAAUACACUGACUCCGACAACGAGCUUUUGCCCCGCAACCUGGCCCGAAGGGGUUGGGGAAACUCUGAGCCGGAGUCGUGAUGGGGAUUGAUGCUUGAAAUUAUUCUCCAUGAACGAGGAAUGUCUUGUAGGCGCGUUUCAUCAGAACGCACCGAAUACGUCCCUGGUUCUUGUACACACCGCCCGUCGUUGCCUGUAAUGGGUUGUGAGUAGAGCACUUUGGAGACACCGGCGUCCUCCAACGCCGGUUGUCAAAAUUGUGCAAUACUUGCAACUUAGAAGAGGCAAAAGUCGUAACAAGGUUGCUGUAGGUGAACCUGCAGAAGGAUCAA